rnacentral:rRNA from 1 species
AUACGGAGGGUGCAAGCGUUAUCCGGAUUUAUUGGGUUUAAAGGGUCCGUAGGCGGAUCUGUAAGUCAGUGGUGAAAUCUCACAGCUUAACUGUGAAACUGCCAUUGAUACUGCAGGUCUUGAGUGUUGUUGAAGUAGCUGGAAUAAGUAGUGUAGCGGUGAAAUGCAUAGAUAUUACUUAGAACACCAAUUGCGAAGGCAGGUUACUAAGCAACAACUGACGCUGAUGGACGAAAGCGUGGGGAGCGAACAGGAUUAGAUACCCUGGUAGUCCACGCCGUAAACGAUGCUAACUCGUUUUUGGGAUGCAAGUUUCAGAGACUAAGCGAAAGUGAUAAGUUAGCCACCUGGGGAGUACGUUCGCAAGAAUGAA